CCUACGGGAGGCAGCAGUGGGGAAUAUUGCACAAUGGAGGAAACUCUGAUGCAGCGACGCCGCGUGAGUGAAGAAGUAUUUCGGUAUGUAAAGCUCUAUCAGCAGGGAAGAAGACGACGGUACCUGACUAAGAAGCCCCGGCUAACUACGUGCCAGCAGCCGCGGUAAU
rnacentral:rRNA from 1 species